UGUUGUGAGUAGAAGUCUGGGGGGGGGGGGAAGAAGAAUUUCACCCAUUUUGGGUAAGGCUGUAACAUAAAAUGUGGAAGAAGUGAAGUGGACUCCUACACUGUGAAUACUUUCCAGAUGCACAGUAAUUAUUUCAUCCUUCCCGUCACACAUACUGGGGUCAGACUACCCUCCCAAAAAAGUGCACAUCAUAGGUAUGGCAACUCUUAAUUAAACUCUUGGUAGAAGACCUGCUGUGAACAAGCUGGGAAAGUGUAACAGACCAGCAGACAGACCUCUAAGCCAAUCCAGAAUCUCAAAAAUUGCAGACUUGAACUAAUCCAUUUCAGUCCUAGGACCAAUCCACAGCACAUACUGCAUUUAUGCUUAGAGUGGUGAUCCCAAACAUCAGUUCCUACCAUACUACCAAACCACAGAACAAAGAUGCAAUGAUGUAGGAAGAGAUGACAAAUCAAAAAAUUAAGGAACAUCCAAGAACUAUUCUGGUACCUGAACUGGUUGUGAAGUCGCUGACCUGCACACCCUCCUUUACUGGUGGCUACCACACGAUCAAUGCCAUAAUUGCUCCCUCAAACAGUACGAACUGAAGAAGGGUUUUGGAUAAAAGUCAGACUGAGUCCUGUGUUUGGAUUCUUCUAGAACUGCUUUGAGCUGGACAACACCGCUUUGAGUUGACUGUGCGUAUGCACAGCUGCCAAACAAGUGAAGCAAAAGCCUACGCUUACACCAGGUUAAAAAGAACCACCUGUCUCACAGGUCAUCCAACAUCCCUCCACACACACAACAUGAGGGGAGGCAAAGAAUCCUCUCUAAAAAGAAGUCUGAUAACCCACAGGCAGGAAGCUAAUUCCCCACAUACUGUACUCAGACUUGAAAAUCCACUAUUCGUACACUUCCUGUCGUUUCCAGCUAGUCUACCUCCAGGUG